ensembl:lncRNA
AGAAAGGGUUUUGAUGAAGGCAAGAACCCCAAGAAGAGGAACACCCACCUAGUGUUCAGAAAGAUUGGAGAUUAAAAGCUCUCCCCAUUGACUCUACAUCAGCAUUGAAGCAGAAUCUGCCUCUCUCUAGGUGAUGUGUUUACUCCUACUUUACUGUCAUCAAUCUCUCCUUGCACAUGAAAAUAAUGACCACAUAGUUCUUAAAAGAGAUGGGACAGUACCAACCCAGCACUUCAGGAUGUUGGCUUUGCAGGGUGGUGCUCAAAAUACAGGGUAAGAAAUUUUGUUUCACUUUCUUAUUCCACUAGUUCUUAAAAAAAUACUCUGAUUUAUCCAAUGUGGUGCAAAAACAAGCCUGUAAAUCUUGAUGUAAUUGACAAAACAGAAAUCUUUUAUGGUCAAUCUUAAAUACCACACAUAAUAGUAUCCAGUGCCAUAUUCAAUCUAAUCCCAACAUCGGAGAGUUUUAUAUGCAAACCAUUGUGACAUUUCAAUAGCUAAUCACUUGCUUACCACAAAUGCCUUGAAAGAACUCUCAGAGCUCAAGAAAAUUAGAAGUUCUGUUAGUCGGAGACUUAGAUACUGUCAAAAGGGGGGGGAAAUCAAAAUUAAUAUUUUAAUUUGAACUUAACAAUUAUAGUAACAAUAAUAUACCACCCUUACAAAUCUUCCAAAAGAAUUCCUAAUUUGGCAGUGACAAAAGGAAGCAUAGAUGUUGGGUUUUUUUUUUUUUUUUUUGAGAGAAAAUAAUUAAUUCAACAUAAAGUGGAGAAGAAUAUGAAGCUGUUGAAGAUGUAAGUAACAUCUUCAAAUGAAUAAUCAUUACAAGAGGAAUCACUAUGAAGAUUUUAUGUGAAGAUUAGAAGCAAGUGGAGAAUACAGAGGUUAGGUUACAUCUUUAUCAGGAUUAUUUUAUUCAAGCUAUAUUAUUAUUCAAGCUAUUUUAUUCAAGUACAAGGAGCCUGCAAGGAUAACAAAACAAACAAACAAACAAACAAAAUUUUCUACAAAGCUCUUCAGCCAUGAUCAGUACUGACCUAAGUUCUGUAGGAUGUCAACUGAACUUUUCCAUGGUUUUUAAAGCUGACAGUUUAGUACAGGCAAUGCUCCUUAUUCAAACAGAGAUUUUGGCAUAAAUUAAACUUAUUAGUAAUGAUUGUCAAUCACACUGCUAACUUCUUUCAGUUAAAUAUAUUCCAGGAAUUUUAAAUACACUUAAGACUCAUGUUAUCCAAGGAACUAUUUUAAUCUAGCAUCUAAAUAGGACCUUCAGUAUUAUAGAUAUAGUUGCCAACGAUGUGUCCUUUUGUUAUAGUUUUAGAAAAGGGCAUAAGCGCAGUAGCCCACAGCCGUCAGUGUCUCUCUGAAGUGCAUAGUGGAAACAUGCAACCACACGUAAAUUUGUGGUUAGCUUCACCAGACAACAGAAAUAAUUUUAGAAGUAGACAGGUUUGGAUUUUUUCUUUCCCUCCUGAAUUCUGAGAUUGCUAGGAAUGUCUUUCUAUGAGAGUUAUUAUUCAUCAAAGUACCCAGCAAGCAGAACAGCUCAGAAGAGGCUGCACAACAUAGUCUAAAUUUCCAGAGUCUCUUUAUAGAAAUCAUGUUCACACCAGUGACAGGAUAAAUAUACAGAAGCAUAAACUGUACUGUUAAUGCUUUAGUAAAUCAUCAAAACCUUGAAGUUGUUUGGGAAUUUUUGUUCAGUGCUGUUAAUAGUUGCUGACUCCCUGGUAAUCAGAUACAAAGCACUGGACAAAUUCUUCUGCUGGAUACUGGGAGCCAGGUUCUACCUGGGCCAGUUAUGGGUGUACUUGUGCUUUUGAGGGAAGAUUUUGUUUCCAAAAUGUGCUACCAAAUUAAAGGCCUCUAACUACACUUCCAACUGCACAUCACUCAGAUAAAUAAAAAAGAAUCAUACCUUACAAUUGCAAUUCCAGUCUUACUCUGCCAGACUUGGUUGGGUCAGCUGAUGGUAAAAGGAAGAUGUUCUUUUAUUCUACUUUUUUGCAGAGAAAAAUUAAAAAAAUCUAAACAUACAGAAAUACAUCAGGACACAAACAGAAGCAAGAUUUGUAGUAUAUACAUAAUUGUUAAACAUUUUUAAAACAUAUAUUUCAUUUAUGUAUCAGACAUAAAAAAAUAAUAAUAAUAAAAAAAAAAGC